ensembl:lncRNA
UAUGAAGCCUCCUCAUCACUUUUAAAGCGGCAGCUAAGUUUAUUACUGUACGCUGUUUACAAGAUGAUGUGUGAGAUGAAAAAAAAAAAAAGAUCAAUAACUUCAUAUUUUGUCUAUUUGUCUUAAGAGGACGACGUUUGACAGAUGCAAUUGUAACUUUUUAGUGCUGUUAAACAGAAAGGCGUAGGGGUUAGCAUUUAUCACAUUUCAAAAAAUGAGGUUGAACGAGAGAAAAGAAAACAUAUACAUGGUUUUGGGUCUUUCGCUUGCUCUGACAUGAGUGUGAAAUGAACCUGUGAGUGUCUGUUUUGAAAGUGUACUUCGUAGAAAACGAUCAAGUUCACUGCAUAGGGAAAUAAAGGCUCUCUGCUUCUGUUUUCUACGAGUCAAAAAGUUUUGUUCCUCUAGGAGGCGCUCGGUGGAUCUUUUUGGCUUAGUCAAAAAAUAUACCCAUUCACACGCGACAUACAAUAGCGCCGACAUCAACUACAAAAUGUAGAGUAUGUGAUUUGUGAUUUUGUUUUCCCACGCGUGUACUCCAUUCCCAUUUUAGUGGUACAAAUUCUACACUUAAUUUCUAUUCUAAUCCUUAUAUUUCUACGGAGUCCGCAAAUCGUCUGUGUUGUCGUAAAACUGUCGUAAAGAGUCUUUGCGGUAGCUGUUUUCAUAACCAUCAACGUGCUGCCCUUGUGAGAAUGAGCACAAAGUAGCAAGUAAGAGAAUACUUACGGUUUUAUAUUAUUAAAUGGACAUUUUACCCAAAGACUUUGGAGAAAUGUCUUUAGGACCUUGUUCGAAAAUGUACAUUUUUUAGUUCGGAAAAGAAGGGCUUUGGAGACAUAAAGUGAUGAAAAUGUACAGUGCAGCAUUUUUAAAAAAAAAUCAAAAUGCAUUUAUUAACUAUUUUUCAUAUCGUUUUUGGAAAAUAAAUAUUUAUAUAUGCAUGUUUAGUCAAGUGGUCAAAAGCAAGAGAAGAGAUGGCUUCGCCUUUUCUGAGACUCUCUGUGUUUA